rnacentral:lncRNA from 1 species
AGGACAGCAAGCCUGGAUGUUUCCAGCAAAUUGCAUCAUAGAGUUUGCCUAGCAUCUUAUAGUAUGAGAUGGCAUUGACAUUGAUACUCCUUGGUUGAAAAUAGUCCAGAAUCCUUCUGCAUCCAAUAAAACAAUCAACUUGAUAUUACCAGAUGAGGAUGUUGUCUUGAACUUCUUGGCCACUGGCAACUGGGGAUGUUUCCAAUAUAUAGAAGCCUACUUGGAUUUGGGUUAGUGGUGCACUCAAGAUUCAUCAUUCCGUGACAAUCCAAGUCAAUAUAUCUUAUUCCUCUGUGACAUACUGAAGCAGAUGUUGCAAGAACAAACUCCAUGUGCACAUAGAAUAGAAUUAUAGAAUUUUAGAUGAUUGCACAUGAUGCUGUAGGCCAAGCUGUACGAGCAUACUAUCUUAUUUGCUAUUAUGUUGAUGGCAAUUUUCCUGUCAAUGAAAAUCAUUGCCUCAAUGUACUUCACAAUUGUAGCAGUCACAACCUCCACAAGCUGGCCUGGUUAAUCUUCAUCAAUGACUUUUAUGCACCAAUUGGUGAACUUUUCCAUCCAACUGUGUAUUGCUUGUUAUGAUAAUGUGUGCUGCCCAUAUAAGAAUAAGUUCUUUAUGAAUGUCCUUUGCAACAAAUCCUUUUUCUUUCAAAAACUGCACAACAGGCCAUUGUUCUUCAAUCAUACACUCUUCCAACAUAGUCGCCAUGUUGUUAUGUGCAUAGCAUCACCUGCAUCUAUCAUGAGAGAUUUUGAAUGAUUUCCUUCUGCAGCUCAAGUUGUCCUUUUACCUGGUACAGUCAGCAUGUUGAUACUCAAUGCCCUCAGGACCUACAUGCAUUAUAACUUAUUUACAAACUCUUCUUUAUACAUGAAACAAAUUACAGGUAUAAUUAUUCACUAUAUAUAUUUUCUCAAUUCUAGAUGUAGAUGUAAAUUCACUUUUAAUUACUAUGAAACUAAUGUGUUUUAUAAUUGACAUCAAAACAAACUUUUCAUUGUCUUAAUUGAAAAAAUAAAUCAUUGUUAUAUGGGUUGGAUAUAGCAAUGAUGAUCAAUUUUUUUCAACAGCAACUUAUUCAAAGCCUAGGUCAAAUAUCCAGAUGAUAUCUAUAUAUAUAUAAAAUGCAAUGUCUGUCUGUUGUCUGGUUGUUGAU